rnacentral:tRNA from 1 species
UCCCUGGUGGCUCAGUCGGUAAAGAAUCUGCCUUCAAUGCAGGUGACUCGGGUUCGAUCCCUGGGUGGGGAC